rnacentral:lncRNA from 1 species
AUCUCCAUUGUUCUACCCUUUUCCCAAACAUACAAUUACACAAUCUUUCCCCAAUGUCAAGCCCAACUCACAUCUCUCACCAAAAGAUCUCAAGAACGCCCUGCACACAAAACUCUUUUCUUUGAAAUCUCAUAAGGAUUUUUCUUAACUUCAAAACAAAACUUAGCUCUAAACAGUUUUGCUAACCCCCUUUCUUCCUUUUUUCUCUUU